UAACUUUUCACUUCAGCAGCUCAUACACUAAACUGGACCAAUACAGAGAAGAUCAGCAUGGCCCCUGCCAGGGAGGACCCAAAGGAAGUUGUUUUAACACUGUUA
rnacentral:snRNA from 1 species